AAGGCUUUAGUUUAAAGUAAAAUAUUUGUGUUGCAUUCAGAAGAUGUUAGAUAUAACCUUACAAGUCUUA
rnacentral:tRNA from 1 species